AUUAUAUUAUAUAUAUUAUAUAUAUUUCAUUUACUAGAUUUGAUUUAGUAAAUUCUAGUAGAUACAGAGUUGCUCGUGUACUCGUUGACCAAUUAACCUUGCCCUCUUCCGUGAAUCUGAAAAGACCGUGCGAGUAAUGGGGUCACUCGAAAAUCUUGGCCGAUGAUCGUGAAAAACAGUCGAAGGCCUGUCCGUCUGUCUCGACAUAUUCUCUCGCCUGUUUCUCGAAUAGCAAUCAACGUUUUGGCUCUAGAGAAGAUCGACGUAAUCGUCUCUCAAGUUUUUUACACCACAAAGCCGAUAAACAAGUUUUUGUGGGUGCAUUUGAAAUCGUACGAUAUUUAAACAUAAAUUAACACCUUUUUACCGUUGACCACCGGUGUUUGCGAGAGACGUGAUUUUGAUAGCCAUGAAAGUUCACGUUCUGGAAUUGUCGACGUUCGAUCGCGAAAUUUUUCGGCAAAAAAUAUAUCAACAUACAGCACAAAGAAAAGCUAGGAGAAUUCUUGCCAUGUUGUACAUUAAUAUGUAUUUAUUUUUUGCGAAAGGAACAAAAACAAAUACCUAAAGAUGUGAUGCGUGGUUGUUAAGAUCUGAGAAUUUCAAAGUAUGUAUUUUUCCUAAUAUGUAUUUUUUCGUUAUUUUGUUUGUUGAAGCUGUUAAAGUCAUUUCAUGAAUUUCGUGGUCGAUAAACUUUAGUAAUAUGAAUUUCGGUAAUCGAUAAACUUUGGUAAUUAAAUUAUUGGAAACUGUUGUUGAUACGGUGGAUUCAGACAUUUGAAUUACAAUCCGCUGAACUGGAAGACUUAAAUUUAAAGAUAUUAAGUAAAUGAAAUAUCAAUAUAAUUUAAAUAUAAAUAAUUAGAUAUUAACUAAAUUGAAAAAUCUUCCAUUCGAACAAGUUAUAAUUAAAAUUCUUGAGUCCAGGGUAACAGUAAUUCCUUGUAAUAACAUUUUGCACCGAAAGAAACCUGCUUUCCAAAUUAUUCGUGACUAAAGAAACAAUAUCGUUUCAGACGUGUCUCUUUUUGUCCCAAGUGUUCUCAGACGUCUGAAACGUGCACACGCCUGUUGUAUCCACAGAUAAGUGUUCGCAGGGGAACACGUUGCGUUUCGAUUUAUUGAUCUGGGCCAGCGGCACGAACAGAUAACGCGAAUAAAGAUGAGAUAAAAUUGAUGUUUUUGCACUAUUACUAGCGUCUUUAUCUCAUUUUUCGGUAAAUUAUUAGUAUGCCUUUAUUAACCUUUUUAUUAUUAACCCCCUUUCGCCAUGCGUUCUUUUUCCUCUGACGCACCAACGCUAGAGCGCUUACGAAUGCGAUUUGCAAUACGACAAACAUUUCGGAAUGUUGAAUCGAAAUACGUAAAUGGAUCGCGGAUAUUUAUGCAAAUUCUGAUGUUUCUGAAUAUAAAUAAGGAAAUGAAAUUCAGUUGUCUCAUUCAUUAUAUUAUCCCACCUUGGAUAUUUCUACAUUUUUGCAACUUUAAAUUUUCUAUAAAUGCAUAAACGACUUUUUAACGAAUCGACAAUUUCAUCGUAUCCAACAAGCAUUGAAACGCAUCAGUCCGAACUUGCUCGCGUUCGAUAUUUAGUCUGCGCUAUCAGAGUUUCAUUCGUUCUUUGUGAACCGACAGCGAAGUUAUUUAGGUAUUCAAUGUUGAAAUUCUACUUUUACGAGUCCUUCUGAUUUUCUAUUUCAGAAAAACUGUAGAAGUGUCGAAGAUCUUACUGGAAAACUUUGCGCUUCUUCUUAAUAGAUCAGAGAAUUUGUAUGUGCAUAUACUUAAUUUGAAACAUUCUUUUUAGUAUUUAUAAGACAGUAAACGAUUCUGUAACUUAAACUGCAAUACAUCGUAGAAUAUACGAGGAGGAUACGUUCGAGUGGAAUUUCGACACAAAAGGAAACAGCGAUUGACUUAAUAUGUUAUUGCAUUCCACCGUACGAAACUCUUUAGCAACAUGUCGACGAAAAGGGAAGCACAAGAAUUCAAAACAAUAAUAAAUUCCGAUCACGUUACUUCUUUCAGCAUAUUAAGUCUCGAAGACUGGAAAGAAUCAGAAACUUUCAUGUAUCCUAUGUUCAGAAAUCAAAUGAAGACUAUUCGAUCAAUGAACAGCUUUAGUCGAAAAUUUCCGUAAAUCGCAGAUAGUUACAAAAUUUGAUCAUUAAUCGUCAGGUAGAAAAAUUUGUAAUAGAAGCAACUAUGUCUUUUUUAAAUAAAUUACCAAUUUAUUUACACCUUUAUUUUAAUAACAAGGAUGAAAAAUUCAACAGCGACGGAAUAAACGAAUUGUGAAACAUGCGAAACGCAAUUAUAAGUAACAACGAAUAUUACGUUAUUAAAGAGAAUAAUUAAUAAAAAUUCUUCUUUCUUCCUUUCAAAGAAAAUAUUUCAAAUCAUUCGCGUUUCAUGUACGCUAACGUUACAAAGAAAUUAUUUCUAUUUUUGAUCUAUCGGAUCGAUAACGAACAUGUCGCACAGGAAAACAGACUUGAAAAAAAUUUUUAUUAAUUAAUCAGCACAUUUGUCAACUGUAAUCACGACCCUCGGGCGAAAAGAAUUGUCGCGCAUGCAUUAAUCAAGGCCCUCUGAAUAACUGCAACUGAUUCCACGGAAUUGCAGCGGCGAGUAUAAUUCUCUGUUGUAAACAAGUUUUAUAUUCAUACCAGCAUCACGUGGUUCUAUACUCUAUACUAACGUACUAUGUUCAUCGUGGUGUAUGUCGCUUAAUUUCCUACGUUCUACGCAAUUGCCAGGAAACUGAUAAAUAAAUACGUUCGUUUCUAUUGUAACAACAGACCCUUCAAUUGUGAAUCGUUGAAAUUUCUGAAUGUUUAAGGAAGAAUGCGUCAUCGUUUACACACCAUAGGUGUUACGGUGAUGCGUAGUAGAGAUAUUUUCGGUAGUUUACGAAAAGUAUCCUUGAAUCCGGCCAACUCACCCAGCCGUUAAUUUCAACCGUGUAAAUAUAAUUAGAAAUACUACUGCGAAGUGGUGGCUUCGAUCCGACUUAGAAGACAUUGACUAUUCGUUUCUGCUGGUAAAAAUGUUAGGAUAAUACGAUACUUGGGUAUUACCAGUGAAAAAGUUAUAGUUUCUCUCGUUCGAGGGUAAUGGUUAAGUGACUUGCGAAAUUUGAAAGGUGGAGUACAAUCGAGUUUGAAACCGGUAAUCAUUGGUACUUCGUUGAUUUUUAUGAGCAUUCGAUAAAAAUAUUGCCCAAUUAUUUAUCAAAGACGACGUUUCUAGAGAAAGUUUUAAAAAAUAGGUGAACGAAAGGUAAUAGUUUCUCUUUGGAAGUCUUCUUUCAGAACAUCGAAAAUGUACUGAACGAAUAGCGAGAUUUCGAAAGUGUCCUAGAAUUUACUACUUUAUUACUGUCCUGGAAUUGUAGUUUAAAAUUGUUAAUCAUUGGUACUUUGUUAAUUUACUUAAAUUAAUUAAUCGGUAAACAUGUUAUAUUGUGCAUCGGAAGAUAAAAAGGACAACAUGGUAUCUACAUGUUAUUUUAGAAACAGAUAGGCAAAAUUUCAAAACUCAUUCUAUUCGACAUACAAUUAGAAUGAAAUAUACGGAAAUAUAUAUAUUCAAGAUUAUUAACAGCUGUUUAUGACAGAAUCUAGUAAAAAUACUUUAAUUAAAAAUACUUGUUUACGAUGGUUUUACAGCUGAUUAUCAUAAAACAGUUGUUUAUUUGUAUCAGAAAGAUAGGAAUAGCGAUAUUUAUAACUACAAACUUCGCAAACAUUCUCGUUAAAUUCUUCUACAAACCAAGAAUAUUUAGUUAGUUUCAAAAAGAAACACUUCCAAUUGCAUCUUUAAACAAUUCUCUAUUCUUACGAUGAACAAAAUUCCCACAAAAAUUGAACCACUUGUUUCUCAAAUAUCCUGUAUAACAAAUUUACUUCAUCUGGAUACCUUGCGCCUUAUUGCGAUUUAUCAACGAAUAACGUUAGUGAACAGGCAGACUACAAAUUAUAGAUCAUAGGUAAUCCAGAUUUCUGUUGUUCAAAUAAUUCUAUAAACAUUCAUUUUAUUAGUUACAUAUGAGAAUUUAUUAGUAUCGAUAAUUUUUAAACUGUACCUACAGCGUUCUUAAAUUAAAGGUAUUGUCACACGCACCAGCUUUCCUCUAAACUCCUGAAUUAUGCAAAACGUUCCUAGAAGGCGCUUCAACCGCUACGACUCCGCUCCAAAAACUUUCUGAUUUUUCGAAUAAACCUGUUAUUUCUUCCUACUCAACUCCAUUUUAUUCCAUCCAUUCGAAUUCCCUUGGAAAACAAUUGAAGUGACAAAAAAAAAAAAAAAAAAAAAAAAAAUAGUUGGAAAGAGCGCGUGCAUAAUUGAGGAUUGAUGACCACGUGUACACGCGUGCCAGGCGAGCUGACCGAUCGUCAGGGUGUCAAGGCUAAGUACGGACAAUGCAGUUCUUGCAGAGCAGGUGGACGGAGGUCAUUAACCUAGUUUGUGCAUACGUGUACAAGGCCUCCGCUCGCGCGCGGCGUGUAUCAGCUCGCGCAAGAGGAAAGACGACGCUUUCGAUCGACGAAUGACAAACCAGUGAGGUAAACGUCCGUUGUGACGCUAACGUGCUCGAUUAUGAGCAUGUGCAGUUGUGCACUCUUGAAACAGCGUGCGUGACGCAACCCACGAGAGAAAUAUUUGGCACGCGAUGCGGAAAUCUCGGCACGUGGCACAGCCAUGGAGGGAUAAAUAGAUGAAGAAGAUACGCAGCACGACGACAGCCCUCCUGCUACGGCAAUGUACGUACAGACGAGUAUUUGCGUCGAAAUUGAACGAAGGACGCGAACCAUUGCUACUCGUUUGUAAUUUAGGUCAAAAGAGAAAUUUUUGGCAAUUAUUUAAAACAGACACUUCGCUGAUUUUGCUAAGCUCGAAAUACGUUAUCAAGAAUUUACAAUUAGUUUCCAAGAACGAACAAGUUGAACGUUAAUUAUGUACACUGAUAAUGAUAUUAAGAAAUUUACAAAAAGUGGAGGUGAUUAGUUUUUGCCAGUAUUGCAGCUAGCUGCGACAUUCAUUAGGAUAUCAUCCGACCUUUGACUAUAACCUCGUAAUUAUAAAAGUAGAUGGUGCAAUGCCAGAAUGUUUUCCAAAAGGACACCGAUUGUAUCCGGAAGCCUUGGCUUUUAUAACUGUGUCAAAUUCCUGCCCUUGAUAAGCAUCUCUUAGCGAAGUGGAAAAAUAAAUACGUUCAAGGAAAACAUAUCUGUCUGGAGACUACUCGUUCUGCCUCUGUAUAUCGAACUCCUACGAACUUAUCAAGUUUAUAUCGAUAAUGACGUAUCUAGAUCCUGAACAAUAAACUUUAUUAGAGCUACUUACGCGUAGUACAGUGAUUUUGUACUCAACUUCAGUCAAGAAAAGUACAAAUUACUCAAUUCUUGAUACUCAUGAAAUGUAUCGUACAAGUAUGGGGAAAAGCGUAAUUAGAUUCUGAACAAAUUGCAUGAAAAACAAUGAAUCGUAAGAUUUCUAUUUUGUUCGUCUAUUCUUACAGUAUACUAGAAUCAUUGGGAAAGAAUGCAAUUAAAUGUUUAAUAAAAUUCGAGACUGUUACAUUUGUAUUCCGAGGAAGACGAUAAAUUAGAAAAUCUUUAUUUCAUCUCGAGAAAAACAACGAAUUGCAAAAUCUGUAACAUAUUUAUCCACUUAAACUGUAUAUUAGAAUCCUUAUAAAUGCAACGCAAUAAAAGAUUGAACAGAAAUAUUGCAAGAUCGUUCCGAGAAAAGUGGCAAGUUUCAAGAUCUCUAGUUUGUCCUGAGAAAAACAACGAAUUAUAAAUUCUUUAACGUGUUUAUCCGCUUAAAUUCUAGAUUAGAAUCGUCGUAACAACGGUGCAAUUUAAUUUUAAACACGUUGCAAGAUUAUUCUGAGAAAUUUCGACUUUUAUCUGCAGAAAAAAAGAACAAAUUAUACGAUGUUUACCGUGGAACUUCAAGAUUCCUAUUCAAGAUUCUAAGAAAAACGACAGAUUUCAAGUACUUCGUUGAUCCUCGCCAAAUCUAAACUAGAGUC